GUACUUAAUAACCCAUAACAUGUAUUUAUUACAUUCACACAGUAUAUAUCUUAUAAUGUAUAGAGUUUUUAAAUAAUUUAUUUAUGUAAUACUAUGUGUCCUGUGUAUAUACUGUUACUGAGGGUGCUGUUUAGUGGCAUUUUCCCUUUGAGACUGCAUUCUGUUUAGCUAUGCUAUUCUUGGCUGCCUGCCUGUCUAUGCAGACAGACUAGCCUGGAGGUUUCUGUGCGCUCAAUAUCUCCCUCCUCCUAUUUAAA